CAGCAGCCGCGGGAAAACGGAGGGGGCUAGCGUUGUUCGGAAUUACUGGGCGUAAGGCGCACGUAGGCGGCUUGGUAAGUUAGAGGUGAAAGCCCGGAGCUCAACUCCGGAAUUGCCUUUAAGACUGCCGAGCUAGCAGGUGAGAGAGGUAAGUGGAAUUCCGAGUGUAGAGGUGAAAUUCGUAGAUAUUCGGAAGAACACCAGUGGCGAAGGCGGCUUACUGGCUCAUACUGGACGCUGAGGUGCGAAAGCGUGGGGAGCAAACAGGAUUAGAUACCCCUGUAGUCCCUGUCUCUUAUAC
rnacentral:rRNA from 1 species